rnacentral:rRNA from 1 species
GACGUAGGGCGCGAGCGUUGUCCGGAAUUAUUGGGCGUAAAGAGCUCGUAGGCGGCUUGGCAAGUCGGGUGUGAAACCUCCAGGCUCAACCUGGAGACGCCACUCGAUACUGCCAUGGCUAGAGUCCGGUAGGGGACCACGGAAUUCCUGGUGUAGCGGUGGAAUGCGCAGAUAUCAGGAGGAACACCGGUGGCGAAGGCGGGUCUCUGGGCAGUAACUGACGCUGAGGAGCGAAAAGCGUGGGG